AUACGUAGGGAGCGAGCGUUGUCCGGAUUUACUGGGUGUAAAGGGUGCGUAGGCGGCUUUUUAAGUCAGGUGUGAAAACCGUGGGCUUAACUCACGGAUUGCAUUUGAAACUGAGGGGCUUGAGUGGAGCAGAGGCAGGCGGAAUUCCCGGUGUAGCGGUGAAAUGCGUAGAGAUCGGGAGGAACACCAGUGGCGAAGGCGGCCUGCUGGGCUUUAACUGACGCUGAGGCACGAAAGCAUGGGUAGCAAACAGGAUUAGAUACCCUGGUAGUCCAUGCCGUAAACGAUGAUUACUAGGUGUGGGUGGUCUGACCCCAUCCGUGCCGGAGUUAACACAAUAAGUAAUCCACCUGGGAAGUACGACCGCAAGGUUGAA
rnacentral:rRNA from 1 species